rnacentral:ncRNA from 1 species
AUGUUCUAUGAAAGGAGAGAAGGUUAGCAGUCCCCUUGACAAGAACAGAAGAGGCACUCAGGCCUAAAAACAUGCAUGCAGUUAAGGAAUGCCACCUACUUCAUGGCACUAGCCAUAGUUUUGG